UCAACACUGGUGUUAAAUAGGCACGUUGGGGUUUGGAUCCAGAGGGAAUAGAGAAAAUAU
rnacentral:tRNA from 1 species